rnacentral:rRNA from 1 species
CCUACGGGUGGCUGCAGUGGGGAAUAUUGCACAAUGGGGGAAACCCUGAUGCAGCGACGCCGCGUGAAGGAAGAAGGUCUUCGGAUCGUAAACUUCUAUCAGCAGGGAAGAAUACUGACGGUACCUUAGGAGGAAGCCCCGGCUAACUACGUGCCAGCAGCCGCGGUAAUACGUAGGGGGCGAGCGUUAUCCGGAAUCACUGGGCGUAAAGGGUGCGUAGGCGGCCAAUUAAGCCAGAGGUGAAAGGCUACGGCUCAACCGUAGUAAGCCUUUGGAACUGAAUGGCUUGAGUGCAGGAGAGGAGAGUGGAAUUCCUAGUGUAGCGGUGAAAUGCGUAGAUAUUAGGAGGAACACCAGUGGCGAAGGCGACUCUCUGGACUGUAACUGACGCUGAGGCACGAAAGCGUGGGGAGCAAACAGGAUUAGAUACCCUAGUAGUC